CAAGACCUGAACGGGAGGGGCAAGAAGACAGGAGAGGGGCGUGGUCACUGAAGUUCCAAACUCCCUGGGGAGGAAGUUGCAGCCUGGUGUUCAGGCAACACAUGCGCAUGUGCAUGUGGGUAUGUGUGCAGGCUGUGUGCAUUUGUGCAUGUGUGCAGGAUGUGUGUAUGCAUGCUUGUGUGUCUGUAUUUGUGUGCUAAGAGAGAGACACUCACAGGAAAGUAGGGGUGGUCUGAACUGAAGGAAGUGGGCAUGCACAGGUCAGAAGAGAGAGUUUUAGAGGAGUCAGCCACUAUCACCGCAUAAGGAGAAACUUGCAAGAGGGGCUGGGCUCUGCUCUGCUUUUCCACAGGCAGAUCUUAGUAUGGCCUUUCUACUCUUCUCUUUCAUGUUGCCCUAUCUGUCCAAGAAGCCUUCACUUUGGUUUGGUGAGUGGUGAGUCCUGCCUCCCGCCCCUGGCCAGCUGUCUGCCUCAGGACUGCGUCAUGAUUAAAGGAUUUCCAUGCCUGCCUUCUGCCCCCGAAUGCUCCUGAGACUCCUGAGGGUAGGUCUGAAUUGCCACUGUCACUGUGACUCUCUCGGCACUGUCCAGAUGGGAUAUGUUUGUUGAAAAGAAUGCUACCACAUGGUGGGAAUGUCCAUCUCUGGGAGACAGAGAGGAUGGGUUGGAGGUGGCAGAAAGACACACAGGGGAAGCUAGUUUACUCCCUAUGGGCAUGAAGACAGGUGGGCAAACCAACCUGGGAAAACCAUUUUAAAAAGCACACAGCGACCCUGCCUUUCUUCCUCCUUCCCAGCUCAUGAGGGCCCCCAGCUUCUGGGUACCUGGAAAUCUAAAGGAAGCAUAACCCUGUGUGCAUUAGGUUGGAAAGUUUAUGACUAUGAUCCCUAUUUAGACAGUGCUUUGGCUUUGAGCUGAAGUGAUAUCAGUUUAGAAAACACAUAUGUGUGUACAUGCACACACACAUGCAUACCCAUGUACACACAAAUCCUACUUUUUUUUUUGCCAGUCUAGCCUAGUCUAAAACUCUCUAUCCUUAGCCUCUUGGAUGCUGUGAUUACAGGCAUGGCCACCACGCCCAGCAUUUCCUUCUGUUGGCCAUGUUACUGACAGGUGCUGUCGUCAUAUCUGCAUUGCAGUGGACAGAUAGACUGCUCUGACAUUCAAGGUCUAGGUCCCAUCAAUCCCCAUGUAUAUUGUAUCCAGUUGGUACACGCAGCAUCAGGCAGUGUGGGAGUCGGGGGGGGGGUAUCUGUGCGCUGUAAGGAGAAAGCUCACGAGCCCUGAGGCUUCCAGUUAGACUCACGAGAGGAAUCCUCACUGUGGUUUCAUAGGGACCUGCCUAUGUGUAGAGAAGUAGUCGGCCCUAUUCAGGGGCUGGUGCACAGAGGUCUGAGAGGGGAAGACAGAAAAGUAUCUGGGGAGCUACUGUCAUCCUAGGUUGUGCGGCUGUGACCUGUUCACAGACGUUAAUACCUGGUGAUGAACCAGAUGCAAGGGCAAGGCUGUCUUCUGAGAGAUGUCUCCCCCUUGAUCCUUUUGUCGCUUUAGACAUUCCAGAUGGAAGGAGGCCCUUCGACCUGCAAAAGUAGCAGAGAACUGGAAUCAGGACACAGGUGAUGGCACCGACCCGUGACAGCUCUGCGUAAUUUAGACCACAAUGUCUACCAGGGGCCAUGCAUUAAAGGCUCAAUCCCCAGUUUGUAGAGUUGAAAGGCUGGCUGAAUGUUUAAAAGGUGGAGCCUCUUGGGAGGCUUUCUACCGUGGGGAUGUGUCUUUGAAAGUGAACUCGGGACACUGAUCUCUUUCCUGCCUUUAUUUAUGGAGGCAAAGGACACAUUUCCUGUCAUAAUGUGCCUCCUUGUCACAGGUCCCAAAGUAAUACACCAAGCUUCCAAAUCUGUGAGUUCGUUAGUCUUUCUCGUGUUUUUUUAAGCUGGCCAUCUUAAGUGUUUUAUUACAGUGACAGAAAGCUGACUAAGAGAGGCUCACUGCUGACGUACAGGGGUCAGUGCUGUCAGCCCCAAGCUCUUUAUAUUGUCAGAGGCAUCUGAGUAGCCACUGUCUAUGUCCCCUUCCGACAGACUCUGUCUUUGGAGAGCUAUUCUGUCACUUCGCAUGUCUAGCAGGCCAUCUCUAGAGGUUGUCUGAGUGAGGCCCAAAUAAGUUCUCCGUUGUCACUUGCUGUCUGACCAUUGCCAUCUUAGAGGUGACUAUUGUCUACGUUGGCAGAGCAAGGUGUGGGUUUACCUAGAGAGGCAGAGCGAAGGAAACUCCUCUUCGGAGAUGGCUGGAUCUCCCUCUUGUCCUCCUCUAGACAGGUCAGUUGUCGGUUUUCAUCGUCCUGGUAGGAGAGUCUGGAAUGGAGAAGCAUCAACACUUGUUCCUGAAGGCCCGCCCAGAAGUGUCAGGACAGCUGCUGUCCCUAGAAAGCACUUUCUACUUUCCUCUGUGAAGUCAGUGCCGAUUCGUGUCCCUACAUACUGGUGUGGGCAGUCGGUGUCAGGCUAUGCUAAGAACCUGUGUCUGGUCUCAGGCAUCCUAGUCAUCUCUUAGGCCUGCUUGCUGGGUGUCCCAGCUCUUGAUACAUACCCAGUGCAUGAGCCCUUGUAGUUGAUUUUUUGUUUGUUUUUCCCACUGGGCUGAGGAUUGGAAUUCAAAGCCUCAUACAUGCUUGAUAAACACCCGACCGCUGAACUCCUAUCCUAGACUCUAGCCUUCCUUGAGCUUCUGAUCUCAGCCAGUGGAGGCUUUCUUGGGUUUAGGGAAAGUUGGAGAAAGGAUUCUAGGCCCAUACAACAUUCUCUUAGAAGGACCUUCCACACCUGCCUUCACAUAGGUCUAUACUGUUCACUAUAGACAUUCUCAGUGUUACUACAUCCCCUAUCCCUCCAAUUCUCCCCUGAGUGGCUUUCUCUUCACACAAGCCACUGCCUGAAGUGGCCAUGCAGUCAUCCAGCCAUCAGAUAGUAGAGCAGUGGCAGACCUUAGGGUGUCUCGUUGAUGAUUUCCAGACUUUGUGAUACUGUAUCACGAUGAGAAAUCUAUUAUACAGAUCCCCACUACCAUAGACAUCCCUAGCCAUGGGAGAUACUCCCUUAGUUGCACCACCCACAAGCAUGUCAAGCAAACACUCUACCCCUGAGCUAUGCUCACAGAACGCUUCACAUCUUGAAGUCGGACACUGUAGAGCCUGUCUGUUUUGAAUCCAACCCUGCAAUCACGCACAGUGACUCCGAGACGUACACAUCUGCAGGGGGAGGUUGGGACACGAUCUCGUAUUCUGACG